GUGCUCGCUACGGUGGCACAUAUACUAAAAUUGGAUCGAUACAGAGAAGACUAGCAUGACCCCUGCGAAAGGAUGACACGCUAAUCCGUGAAUUGCUCCAUAUUGCU
rnacentral:snRNA from 1 species